rnacentral:lncRNA from 1 species
CUUUACAAACUGGUUCCACGGUCUCUGCAGAUAUCUCCACACCACGCUGUGCUCAACCCGACUCCUGGGCUCACUUGGUCAUGGUGACAGCAUGUGCCUUGGAUAGGUACAGACCCCACCCCAGGGCACAGCUCCUCAGUGCUAGAGAAGAAUAAAAUUUCUUGGUUGCCAAGUGCACAUGGAGUGUUGGAAGAUCCAUGGGAUGCGAUUCAUCUCUGAAACCAUGACAGGUGAAUGGAGCAGCUAUUUGAGCACCAGGAAAGGAAAUGGUACACAGCAGUUUGGGAUGGCCCCAGCAGAUGAAAUAUAACAGAGUCAGUGUGAGACUCCUGGAUUUCCUCACUGUCCUCUGGCUGGGACUCCAGACAGCCCCAAACCUGAAGGGGCACAAAUCUGAAAACAAAAAGAAGUCCAGAAAGCCCUCUUGUUCAGGAUUGAAGAUAGGAAAAGAAACUUCUUUGGCUCAAAGUGAAGGCUCAGUCCCCUGCACAAGCAGGUGGUUCACACCUGUGUUCUCAUCUCUCAUACCAGCGCCUCUCCCUGGGUUCACACUGAUGUCCUAUGGAUGGAGACGGGGUUUCCUGCACCAGGUCACUCCACAGCCCCUGUAACCUGAAGCCCUGCAGACCAGCCUUGUUCAAUCACAAUAUGAUGUGAGCCUCAUGGGAAUCCCACUGUCUAGUCAUCGCAUUAUAAAUACAAAGAGAAGAAGUCAA